CCUCGGUGGCUGCAGUGGGGAAUAUUGGACAAUGGGCGAAAGCCUGAUCCAGCCAUGCCGCGUGUGUGAAGAAGGCCUUCGGGUUGUAAAGCACUUUCAGUGGGGAAGAAAGCCUUGGGGCUAAUACCCUCGAGGAAGGACAUCACCCACAGAAGAAGCACCGGCUAACUCCGUGCCAGCAGCCGCGGUAAUACGGAGGGUGCGAGCGUUAAUCGGAAUUACUGGGCGUAAAGCGCGCGUAGGCGGUCUGAUAAGCCGGUUGUGAAAGCCCCGGGCUCAACCUGGGAACGGCAUCCGGAACUGUCAGGCUAGAGUGCAGGAGAGGAAGGUAGAAUUCCCGGUGUAGCGGUGAAAUGCGUAGAGAUCGGGAGGAAUACCAGUGGCGAAGGCGGCCUUCUGGACUGACACUGACGCUGAGGUGCGAAAGCGUGGGUAGCAAACAGGAUUAGAUACCCGGGUAGUC
rnacentral:rRNA from 1 species